GUUGAGGGGAAUGCUGUCUGAUUCGAGACCAUUCACUUUAAGCACACAUUCAUCUUUCGAAUGAUCUCGGACCAGGCUUCAUUCCCCCCAAC
rfam:Populus trichocarpa scaffold_10_contig_245, whole genome shotgun sequence.